GAGGGUAUAGCUCAGUGGUAGAGUGCAUGCUUAGCAUGCACAAGGUCCUGGGUUCAAUCCCCACUAGCUCCA
rnacentral:tRNA from 1 species